UACGGAGGAUGCAAGCGUUAUCCGGAAUCAUUGGGCGUAAAGCGUCCGUAGGUGGCUGUUCAAGUCUGCGGUCAAAGCACAAGGCUUAACCUUGUAAAGGCCGUGGAAACUGAAGAGGCUAGAGUGCGGUAGGGGUAGAGGGAAUUCCCAGUGUAGCGGUGAAAUGCGUAGAGAUUGGGAAGAACACCGGUGGCGAAAGCGGCUAUCUGGACGGUUUCUGACGCUAAGACGCGAAAGCGUGGGGAGCAAACAGG
rnacentral:rRNA from 1 species